GCCCCAGUGGCCCAAUGGAUAAGGCAUCGGUCUCUUAAACCGGGGAUUGUUGGUUCGAGUCCUAACCUGGGGUA